rnacentral:rRNA from 1 species
CAAGUCGAACGGUAACAGGUCUUCGGAUGCUGGCGAGUGGCGAACGGGUGAGUAAUACAUCGGAACGUGCCCGAGAGUGGGGGAUAACGAAGCGAAAGCUUUGCUAAUACCGCAUACGAUCUCAGGAUGAAAGCAGGGGACCGCAAGGCCUUGCGCUCACGGAGCGGCCGAUGGCAGAUUAGGUAGUUGGUGGGAUAAAAGCUUACCAAGCCGACGAUCUGUAGCUGGUCUGAGAGGACGACCAGCCACACUGGGACUGAGACACGGCCCAGACUCCUACGGGAGGCAGCAGUGGGGAAUUUUGGACAAUGGGCGCAAGCCUGAUCCAGCCAUGCCGCGUGCAGGAUGAAGGCCUUCGGGUUGUAAACUGCUUUUGUACGGAACGAAAAGACUCUGGUUAAUACCUGGGGUCCAUGACGGUACCGUAAGAAUAAGCACCGGCUAACUACGUGCCAGCAGCCGCGGUAAUACGUAGGGUGCGAGCGUUAAUCGGAAUUACUGGGCGUAAAGCGUGCGCAGGCGGUUAUGUAAGACAGAUGUGAAAUCCCCGGGCUCAACCUGGGAACUGCAUUUGUGACUGCGUAGCUAGAGUACGGCAGAGGGGGAUGGAAUUCCGCGUGUAGCAGUGAAAUGCGUAGAUAUGCGGAGGAACACCGAUGGCGAAGGCAAUCCCCUGGGCCUGUACUGACGCUCAUGCACGAAAGCGUGGGG